rnacentral:sRNA from 1 species
GCGGGGCUUGGUGAUGCAUGCCUGUAAUCCCAGCCACUUGGGAGGCUGAGAUAGGAGAAUUGUGAGUUCAAAGCCAGCCUCAGCAACUGUGAGGUGCUAAGCAACUCAGUGAGACCCUGUCUCUA